ACCGCUGCGCCACCCAGGGAUCCCCGAUUCUGGAUUUUUUAUAUCAUGCUCCGUUCAGUUGUUGAUUACACAUAACUUUUUCAGUCAUUCCCGUUGUGGGUUUUUUUGUUUUUUCGUGAUAUUUUUUGCCACAGAUUUAUCAUGUGUUUAUAUACUUUUUUAUAUAUAUAUUUUUUAUCAUUUGUUUAUGAUCAAAUACUGAAUACUUUUAUUCAUUCAUGGCUUCUGGCUUUGGUAUUAUACCUAAAAGUUCUCCAUCAGUGUGUUCAUAUUCAUGGUUUCAUAUUAUCUACUUAAUUGUAUGCUUUUAAUCCUCCCCCCCGAUUGAAACACCUCUGAUUCUCUUGGGAAUUUAGUAUUCGAUAAUAAGCAAGGUCAAGACCAGCUUUCUGUUUCUUCUCAGUUGAGUGACCCAAAUAAUUUCACUACUGUUCUUUACGUACUCUUUCCAGAUUGGUUCCACUCUGGCUUCUGACUCUUAAUUUUAACCUUUUUCUCCAGUCACGUCUCUGGGUCGGGGUGGACCCUUAUGACACAACUGCUGAUGUCCUGGCUAACGAACCCUACCUUCCCACGAGGACUCGGGACUUGUGUUGGAUUCUGGGCAUGAACUCUGCAGCCACCUAUCUUCACAUUUUUGGCCGUAUCCUCUGCUACCUGUUCAGAAUCCAAAGAGCAGGAGGAGCAUCUCCAUUGAAGUCUGGAGCAAAACACACAUACUGCGUAUGACCACUAUGAUUCCACGCGAUUAUCGUGUCAAGUAGAAAAUUAAACCAGGCACGGAGAAAAGACCAUCACGUGUUAGAUGACACCUGCCUGCUGAUUUGGUCUUCUGGACGAG